rnacentral:rRNA from 1 species
ACUCCUACGGGAGGCAGCAGUGGGGAAUAUUGCACAAUGGGGGAAACCCUGAUGCAGCCAUGCCGCGUGUGUGAAGAAGGCCUUCGGGUUGUAAAGCACUUUCAGUAGGGAGGAAGGUAGUGUAGUUAACACCUGCAUUAUUUGUACGUUACCUACAGAAGAAGCACCGGCUAACUCCGUGCCAGCAGCCGCGGUAAGUACGGAGGGUGCGAGCGUUAAUCGGAAUUACUGGGCGUAAAGCGCAUGCAGGCGGCCUGUUAAGUCAGAUGUGAAAGCCCGGGGUCUUAACCUCGGAAUUGCAUUUGAAACUGGCAGGCUAGAGUCUGGUAGAGGGGUUAGAAUUUCGAGGUGUAGCGGUGAAAUGCGUAGAG